CGCCGCCCAGCCCCCUUCACUGAGUUCAUCAGUCCUAGCGGAAGCGCCGCCAGCAUGUCUGAUAAACUGCCCUACAAAGUCGCGGACAUCGGACUGGCCGCCUGGGGACGGAAGGCUCUGGAUAUAGCUGAGAAUGAGAUGCCAGGAUUGAUGCGCAUGCGGGAGAUGUACUCAGCCUCCAAGCCACUGAAGGGUGCUCGCAUUGCCGGCUGCCUGCACAUGACCGUGGAGACUGCUGUUCUCAUUGAGACUCUCGUGGCCCUGGGUGCUGAGGUGCGGUGGUCCAGCUGCAACAUCUUCUCUACUCAGGACCAUGCAGCGGCUGCCAUUGCCAAGGCUGGCAUUCCAGUGUUUGCCUGGAAGGGCGAGACAGAUGAGGAGUACCUGUGGUGCAUUGAGCAGACGCUGCACUUCAAGGACGGACCCCUCAACAUGAUUCUGGAUGAUGGUGGUGACCUUACUAACCUCAUCCACACCAAAUACCCACAGCUUCUGUCAGGCAUCCGAGGUAUCUCUGAGGAGACCACGACUGGGGUCCACCACCUCUACAAGAUGAUGUCCAAUGGGAUACUGAAGGUGCCUGCCAUCAAUGUCAACGAUUCUGUCACCAAGAGCAAGUUUGACAACCUCUAUGGCUGCCGGGAGUCCCUCAUAGAUGGCAUCAAACGGGCCACAGAUGUGAUGAUUGUGGGCAAGGUGGCGGUGGUGGCAGGCUAUAGUGAUGUGGGCAAGGGCUGUGCCCAGGCCCUGAGGGGUUUCGGGGCCCGAGUCAUCAUCACCGAGAUCGACCCCAUCAAUGCACUGCAAGCUGCCAUGGAGGGCUAUGAGGUAACCACCAUGGACGAAGCCUGUAAGGAGGGCAACAUCUUUGUCACCACAGGCUGUGUGGAUAUCAUCCUUGGCCGGCACUUUGAGCAGAUGAAGGAUGACGCCAUUGUCUGUAACAUUGGACACUUCGAUGUAGAGAUCGACGUGAAGUGGCUCAAUGAGAACGCCGUGGAGAAGGUGAACAUCAAGCCCCUGGUGGACCGCUACUGGCUAAAGAAUGGGCGCCGCAUCAUCUUGCUGGCUGAAGGCCGUCUGGUCAACCUGGGUUGUGCUAUGGGACACCCCAGCUUUGUGAUGAGCAACUCCUUCACAAACCAGGUGAUGGCACAGAUUGAGCUGUGGACCCACCCAGAUAAAUACCCCGUUGGGGUUCACUUCCUGCCUAAGAAGCUGGAUGAGGCUGUGGCUGAAGCCCACCUGGGCAAACUGAAUGUGAAGCUGACCAAGCUGACUGAGAAGCAGGCCCAGUACCUGGGCAUGCCCAUCAACGGCCCCUUCAAGCCUGAUCACUACCGCUACUGAGUGCUAGGGCUGUCCUUCACCUUCCAGCUGCCAUCCUUGUUCCGGGCCCUAUCUCUCGUUCCCAAGAGCAAAUGUCACCAACUUUGCAGUAGCCUGGACAGUGUUUCUCCCCCACACCUCUCCCCUUACCCCCCCUGGGGCUGGUCACUCUGUCUUUGACCUCUGCUGUAUCCCUCAUACUGUUCCAGGUGUGGCAGGGGAACGGAGAGGUUCCUGGGAGGCAUCUGCAGGGGACAUGACCUCAGAAGUCUUGGAAGUCCUGAGGCUGGAUGUUGCUAGUGAUGGUCACAAGCUAUGUA